GACGAACGCUGGCGGCGUGCUUAACACAUGCAAGUCGAGCGGAAAGGCCACUUCGGUGGUACCCGAGCGGCGACCGGGUGAGUAACACGUGAGUAAUCUGCCCCUGGCUUUGGGAUAGCCACCGGAAACGGUGAUUAAUACCGGAUACGACCACUUCUCGCAUGGGAUGGUGGUGGAAAGUUUUUUCGGCCAGGGAUGUGCUCGCGGCCUAUCAGCUUGAUGGUGAGGUAAUGGCUCACCAUGGCUUCGACGGGUAGCCGGCCUGAGAGGGUGACCGGUCACACUGGGACGGAGACACGGCCCAGACCCCUACGGGAGGCAGCAGUGGGGAAUAUUGGACAAUGGGCGGAAGCCUGAUCCAGCAACGCCGCGUGAGGGAUGACGGCCUUCGGGUUGUAAACCUCUUUCAGCAGGGACGAAGCGCAAGUGACGGUACCUGCAGAAGAAGCACCGGCCAACUACGUGCCAGCAGCCGCCGUAA
rnacentral:rRNA from 1 species